CCUACGGGAGGCAGCAGUGGGGAAUAUUGGACAAUGGGGGCAACCCUGAUCCAGCCAUGCCGCGUGAGUGAUGACGGCCUUAGGGUUGUAAAGCUCUUUUCUCCGGGACGAUAAUGACGGUACCGGAGGAAUAAGCCCCGGCUAACUUCGUGCCAGCAGCCGCGGU
rnacentral:rRNA from 1 species